AAAAAAAAAAAAAAAAAAGUGAAAGCAAAUGCCCUCUACUAGUUUCUAUCCAUGUGUAGGACAUCCAUAGUUAAAACCUCUUAACAAUUGCUUUCUGAGGUCUGAUACCAGAAUAAACAUAAAUUGCAAAUUGGUUCUAAUUUGACCCUGACCAUAAAUGUAAAAUCCCCCCUCCCCCCUCCCUUUUCAACUUGUUUACCCCACUCUUAAACAAUAAAUCCCUCGACUCUCUCAUUCAGGAGAGGAUUCAACAAUGCAGUGCAAUUCCUGCACGUCUGUUCACAGUAAAGCCAGAUCUAUUCUAUUGCCAUAGUCGUUACUUGUUCCAGCUUGACACGCACUAGUUCCAAUUGGACCAAUAGUCACAUAAUGAUCAAUUGACAAAAAGAACGUGCAUAUGCCAGGAUUCAAGUAUUGAGGCAGAUUGUAUCAUAUUGAUGUUCUAGCAGAAUACAAAAUCAAAGAAACAAACAGCUAAUGGUCUGUGCAUCAGAUCAGAAGGAUCCAUAAAGCAAUUCUCAAGAGAUUGCCUCUAGGUUCAGGCAUAGUUAUUAAAGGCUCAAG
rnacentral:misc_RNA from 1 species